GUUACGAAAUAAGCAGUGAAGAAGGGAUGUGAUGUUGAGUUUGGGCCUCACAGACUUGAUUGGAAACGAACCAAGUUGGAACAUUAUGGAGAGCGMCAUUGAGGAUUCAUCUAUGGAUCAAGCUCCUACACAUGCGUAUGAAAAUGUGACAGCCGACCAGGACAACAGAGACAGCUCAGGAUCAGCUCAGCACUCAAGGAGAAGAGUCUACAGAUUAGUUGCCGUGGGUUUUGGGUUGCUGUGUGUCCUACAAGUCAUUCUUAACGUCUCCCUGCGUUUAGUCGACAACCUGAGCGAAGGGAGAAACCAGUUGGUAUGUGAGAAAGACGUCCSCAACAUAUGUCCCCAAGACUGGAUAAUACAGUCCGGAUGCAGUUGUUAUUUCAUCUCCCUUGACACUAAAAACUGGACUGAGAGCAGACAGGACUGUCUGGACAGAGGAGCAGACUUGGUGAUCAUAAACAGCAGAGAGGAACAAGUUUUCAUCAAAACAUUGGGCCACAGAACCUGGAUCGGUCUGACUGACCYAGAAGUUGAGGGAACCUGGAGAUGGGUGGACGGGAAACCACUGACCGAAAGUUACUGGACUGGAACCGGCGAACCGAAUGGAGGACCUGAAGAGAACUGUGCUGAGAUUAUUGGCAUUCACAAUGACCCGGUAUUGGCCUGGAAUGAUCAAUCAUGUUACUCUGAACAGCGUUGGAUCUGCGAAAGGUCGUUGGUUCUGUGAGAGAUUGUUGGAUCUGUGAAAGAUUGUUGGUUCUGUGAGAGAUUGUUGGAUCUGUGAGAGGUCGUUGGUUCUGUGAGAGAUUGUUGGAUCUGUGAGAGAUUGUUGGUUCUGUGAGAGAUUGUUGGUUCUGUGAGAGGUAGUUGGUUCUGUGAGAGAUUGUUGGAUCUGUGAGAGAUUGUUGGUUCUGUGAGAGAUUGUUGGUUCUGUGAGUGGUCGUUGGUUCUGUGAGAUUCAGCACUAACAUGUCCCUAACACCUACAAUAGUAUCCACAUCCACAUCCAUUCCAGAACCCAACCACCAAACAACAUUAUCUUAAGAAAGUAAGGCAAGUCACAAUUAAUUUAGGGAAAAUCAGGUUCCGCAUUUAUAAAAGUAUUGCAAUUGUUUUUCUCUCUCUUUUGACUCCUUCUCACAGUUCCAUCGCUUUGUUCCUUCCCCCCCUAUGCUCAUGUAACACGUGUUGAAUUUCAUGUUGUAUAAUGACCCAGAAUCUGAAUAGUUCCAUGAAAAUCAUAAUCAAUCCUAUAUGUUAAAACACUUCUCAGAUGUUUAUAUGUUCACUGGAUAGUGUUUUCUAAUGGUCUCCCAACAUUAUAUUGUGAUAUGUAUGCAUUUCAGUCAUUUAUGAACUUAUCUGUUGAUUUGUGAACACUGAGUACAUUUUACUCAGGGGCCACAGCUUUCACUGGGGACAGGGGGGGGACAUGUCCCCCCACCCAGUUUUAUCAUUGGAAUGUGAUAUAAAACGAGGCAGCGGUGUGAUUUAGGAUCAUGCAGACGCCUCCGAGCGGUCGGGUAGGCUGUUUGGAGUGUUUAUCCAACUGAAUAAAACAAUAAAAAAAAUAAAAAAAGAAAGUUAUGCCCCUCCCACUUCUGAAACCAAAGUUGCGCCCCUGAUUUUACUACACGUCGUCAUUGGGCUAACAUGGCUAUUCCUGCCCCCCUUUCGUUGUUCAUUUGUACUUUACAGAGGAUGUAUUGCAUUAGGGCAGCACAACAUUUGU